UACGUAGGGUGCGAGCGUUGUCCGGAAUUAUUGGGCGUAAAGAGCUCGUAGGCGGUGUGUCACGUCGUUCGUGAAAACCUGCAGCUUAACUGUGGGCGUGCGGUCGAUACGGGCAUCACUGGAGUUCGGCAGGGGAGACUGGAAUUCCUGGUGUAGCGGUGAAAUGCGCAGAUAUCAGGAGGAACACCGGUGGCGAAGGCGGAUCUCUGGGCCUUGCCUGACGCUGAGACGCGAAAGCGUGGGGAGCGAACAGG
rnacentral:rRNA from 1 species